rnacentral:lncRNA from 1 species
UUGAUGCAGUUCAACAGGUAGAAGGACUGACACCAAUAGCUGAACCUGAGUCGGAUAUGAUUAGAUCAGAUCCGAAGCCCAAUGUACCUGCACCAUUAAGAUGAUCCGAUAGAGUACCGCAUCAGUCGGACAGAUACUAUGAUUUCUUGGUCUGGGAUGGUGAUCCCAUCAAACUUGAUGAGAAUAAUGAGGAUCCGAUCACCUAUAUGGAUGCAAUGCAGAGAC